rnacentral:rRNA from 1 species
AUUGAACGCUGGCGGCAUGCCUAACACAUGCAAGUCGAACGGCAGCAUGCUCUGUAGCAAUACAGAGUGAUGGCGAGUGGCGGACGGGUGAGUAAUACGUAGGGAUCUGCCUUGAAGAGGGGGACAACCCGGGGAAACUCGGGCUAAUACCGCAUGAUACUCUAAGGAGGGAAGGGGUGGCGCAAGCCAGUCGAUUUAAGAGGAACCUACGUACGAUUAGCUAGUUGGUAAGGUAAAGGCUUACCAAGGCAGAGAUCGGUAGCUGGUCUGAGAGGAUGACCAGCCACACUGGGACUGAGACACGGGCCAGACUCCUACGGGAGGCAGCAGUGGGGAAUAUUGGACAAUGGGGGCAACCCUGAUCCAGCGAUGCCGCGUGUGUGAAGAAGGCCUUCGGGUUGUAAAGCACUUUAGUUGGGGAAGAAGGCUUGCGGUUGAAUAGGCCGCAAGAUUGACGGUACCCAAAGAAUAAGCACUGGCUAACUCUGUGCCAGCCGCCGCGGUAA